GCCUCGAUAGCUCAAUGGAUAGAGCUACCCUCUCCUAAGGGGUAGAUGUGGGUUCGAUUCCCUCUCGGGGCACGA
rnacentral:tRNA from 1 species